UACAGAGGUCCCAAGCGUUGUUCGGAUUCACUGGGCGUAAAGGGUGCGUAGGUGGUCGGGUAAGUCCGAUGUGAAAUCUCCAGGCUCAACCUGGAAAUGACAUUGGAUACUAUUCGGCUUGAGGAGUGGAGGGGGGACUGGAAUUCUCGGUGUAGCAGUGAAAUGCGUAGAUAUCGAGAGGAACACCAGUGGCGAAGGCGGCGCACUGGACCAUAACUGACGCUGAUGCGCGAAAGCUAGGGGAGCAAACAGG
rnacentral:rRNA from 1 species